CCUACGGGGGGCAGCAGUGGGGAAUAUUGCGCAAUGGGCGAAAGCCUGACGCAGCGACGCCGCGUGAGGGAUGAAGGUCUUCGGAUCGUAAACCUCUGUCAGCAGGGAAGAACGGUCACUGUGCUAAUCAGCAGUGAAUUGACGGUACCUGCAAAGGAAGCACCGGCUAACUCCGUGCCAGCAGCCGCGGUAAUACGGAGGGUGCGAGCGUUAAUCGGAAUUACUGGGCGUAAAGCGCUCGUAGGCGGUAUGUCAAGUCAAGGGGGAAAUCCCCGCGCUCAACGUGGGAACUGCCUUUGAAACUGGCAAACUGGAGUGUGUGAGAGGAUAGUGGAAUUCCAGGUGGAGGAGUGAAAUCCGUAGAGAUCUGGAGGAACAUCAGUGGCGAAGGCGACUAUCUGGCACAUAACUGACGCUGAGGAGCGAAAGCGUGGGUAGCAAACAGGAUUAGAUACCCGGGUAGUC
rnacentral:rRNA from 1 species